rnacentral:rRNA from 1 species
UACGUAGGGCGCAAGCGUUGUUCGGAAUUACUGGGCGUAAAGCGCGCGCAGGCGGUCUUCCAAGUCAGUGGUGAAAGCCCGGAGCUCAACUCCGGAACUGCCAUUGAAACUGUGAGACUUGAGUACGAGAGAGGUGAGUGGAAUUCCCAGUGUAGAGGUGAAAUUCGUAGAUAUUGGGAAGAACACCGGUGGCGAAGGCGGCUCACUGGCUCGUAACUGACGCUCAGGCGCGACAGCGUGGGGAUCAAACAGG